UACGUAGGGUGCGAGCGUUGUCCGGAUUUAUUGGGCGUAAAGGGCUCGUAGGCGGCGUGUCGCGUCGGGGAGUGAAAGCCCCGCUGCUUAACGGCGGGUUGGCUUCCGGUACGGGCAUCGCUGGAGUGCGGCAGGGGAGACUGGAAUUCCUGGUGUAGCGGUGGAAUGCGCAGAUAUCAGGAGGAACACCGGUGGCGAAGGCGGGUCUCUGGGCCGUUACUGACGCUGAGGAGCGAAAGCGUGGGGAGCGAACAGG
rnacentral:rRNA from 1 species